rnacentral:rRNA from 1 species
AGUGAACGCUGGCGGUAGGCCUAACACAUGCAAGUCGAACGGCAGCACAGUAAGAGCUUGCUCUUACGGGUGGCGAGUGGCGGACGGGUGGGGAAUACAUCGGAAUCUACUUUUUCGUGGGGGAUAACGUAGGGAAACUUACGCUAAUACCGCAUACGACCUACGGGUGAAAGCAGGGGAUCUUCGGACCUUGCGCGAUUGAAUGAGCCGAUGUCGGAUUAGCUAGUUGGCGGGGUAAAGGCCCACCAAGGCGACGAUCCGUAGCUGGUCUGAGAGGAUGAUCAGCCACACUGGAAUUGAGACACGGUCCAGACUCCUACGGGAGGCAGCAGUGGGGAAUAUUGGACAAUGGGCGCAAGCCUGAUCCAGCAAUACCGCGUGGGUGAAGAAGGCCUUCGGGUUGUAAAGCCCUUUUGUUGGGAAAGAAAAGCAGCAGGUUAAUACCCCGCUGUUCUGACGGUACCCAAAGAAUAAGCACCGGCUAACUUCGUG